rnacentral:rRNA from 1 species
UACGAAGGGGGCUAGCGUUGCUCGGAAUCACUGGGCGUAAAGCGCACGUAGGCGGAUUGCUAAGUCAGGGGUGAAAUCCUGGAGCUCAACUCCAGAACUGCCUUUGAUACUGGCGACCUUGAGUCCGGGAGAGGUGAGUGGAACUGCGAGUGUAGAGGUGAAAUUCGUAGAUAUUCGGAAGAACACCAGUGGCGAAGGCGGCUCACUGGACCGGCAUUGACGCUGAGGUGCGAAAGCGUGGGGAGCAAACAGG